UUUGAAUUAAAUGUUGGUUUCUGUGUGUGAUACUAGAUAUGCAUUUUUUUUUUAAGAAACUACAUAAUUUAACAAUGAAGUGUAGAUAAUCACUACAACAAAGUGAAGUAAUUGUCACUUAAGGUUCUUAUUUUAAUACUUUUCCAUAAAACUUGUGUAGAAUUUGGAAAUAUCUUGUCUUGAAAAGAAUUUGGAUAUGAGACUCGGUGUAGUCACCAAAGAAACUAAACCUGGUCUAACUCAAUACCUGCUAGGCUGUGUGUUUUGCUUUAAUGGGCAUUGGCAGCUCAUUUCAUGCUCAAGAAACUGCUGUGAGUGGGCAAUUGGAGAGUCGAGUGUGGGUUGUUGAGAUCAUCUGCACUUUGGUCAGGAAAUUAUCUCCUAAUCCUAAUAGUGCUGCUAUAAUGGCCAUGGGUGUUAACAUCUUGGCAAAGAGAUUGAAAUGAUUGGGGCUCUUGAUUGAGUUUCUAUCCCAUGCUGCCAUUGUUGGGUUCAUGGGAGGAGCUGCCAUUACAAUUUCCCUUCAGCAGCUCAAAGGAUUGCUUGGCAUAAAAAAGAAUUUCACAAAGAAGACUGAUAUUGUCUCUGUUUUGCGCUCAGUGUUUAAUUCAACCCACCAUGUUGUAAUAUGAUUUCUUAAGCCUAGACUAGUAGACUAAAUAUUGUAAUUACAUUUGAGUAAUUAAUAAAAAUCUAUUUAUGUUACCUUA